CAGGGAAUAUUGCACAAUGGGCGAAAGCCUGAUGCAGCGACGCCGCGUGAGGGAUGAAGGCUCUCGAGUUGUAAACCUCUUUCAGUAGGGACGAAGCGAAAGUGACGGUACCUACAGAAGAAGCCCCGGCCAACUACGUGCCAGCAGCCGCGGUAAUACGUAGGGGGCAAGCGUUGUCCGGAUUUAUUGGGCGUAAAGAGCUCGUAGGCGGCUUAGCAAGUCGGUCGUGAAAUACCGAGGCUCAACCUCGGAAUGCCGGUCGAAACUGCUAUGGCUAGGGUCCGGUAGAGGAGAGUGGAAUUCCCGGUGUAGCGGUGAAAUGCGCAGAUAUCGGGAGGAACACCAGUAGCGAAGGCGGCUCUCUGGGCCGGUACCGACGCUGAGGAGCGAAAGCCAGGGUAGCGAACGGGAUUAGAUACCCGCGUAGUCC
rnacentral:rRNA from 1 species